AUGCCUGCUGUGCCAGCAAUCAGAGGCUGACCCGGACAUCUGUGGAGAAAACCUUCAGAUAAAUGGUUUCUGUGCCCACGUGUUCUGCCUGGUUUUUGCCAGCCUCCUUCGUCAGCAAGAGAACGAUCGAGUAGGACUCCUUGGCUUUCUCCCAAGGGAGAUCCCAGAUAUAGUCUCCCAGGCAGCACAGAAGGCCCUGGGAAUUGCUCUGGUGCUCCUCCUGUGCUGCCGAGGGCACCCACAGACACUGCUCUGGCCUGAGGGACAGCAUAACCAGCUGGGAAUGUGAUGGCUGUGCUGGUCUGGGCACAGCCUCCCGAGAUGACUCAGGGCUUGCUGGUGUCAGCGUGGCCAGACAGUCAGGACUGGAGCCUUCUGACAGCUCCAGGGAACCUGAGACCAUCAGCCCCAACACAGGCAGCCUGGCGCUAUCAGGGCUGUCUCCCAGUUCUCCAGCACUGGAGACCGUCAGCCCCAGCCCCAGCGCCCAGCUGCCAUCUCCUGGAUCUGCAGCACCACAGACCAGCAACCUCCACACCACCCAGAGACCAUCAGCCCUGGGAACUGCUCCUGUGCAGAGAACACCCCGAAGGCGAAACCAGUCCCGCCAGCCAACGGGACUGGUUAAUGCAGCCAGUGCCAGGAGCCACUGGGAGGGACUGGGAGGGACUGGGUGUCCUUUCACUAUAAACUUUAGACAAGGUAAAAGGGAGAAUGAUUCGAGCUAAUUAAAAAGAAAACAACCUAAAGUCAACACAACUCGGAGAGAGAAAAGAAAAAGAAAUCGUAAAACUUAAUUGGGCCCCUGUAAAGACAUAAACCAAGUUACCUCCCUUUUACCUUGUCUAAGGUUCAUAGUGAAGGGACUUGGUUUAGUUAUAGAUAAUGACACCUUUCUGAAAAAUUGAUAACUUUGAGCAGAUGUUUGCUUGUUAUCUACACAAUGUCUGACUUGACAAUGUGUAAUGAAUAUAUAUAUUUAUAUAGAGAAUAAAAUAGAA